CUGAUACACACGGGCAAACCCGCGAGCACGGGGCCAGGGGCAGCUCCUGCCAAUUGGGAGAAACCGGGCACUCAGGGAGGGUAACGCAAGCCUAAGGAUAAUUCUUGCAACCGGUAAAGUGGUCUAAGACACAAUUUCAAAACUGCAGUUUUCAUCGUUCUGUAUCAUUCCAUUGCUUCCAGUGACAACACAACACGGUACCAUCGCUGCAAGUGGCCAGUACCCCCAGGGGACCGUACACAAGAGAAAGAAAAGGGGAGGCACAGAAGCCGGCACUGAGGGCGCACACACCUGUGAGAAAGAGCGGUAAUCGAGUCAGCGCUUUUCCUACCCAAAGUUUGGAGCCGCCGGGGUAUUUGCACUCUAGGUGUCUCCUGAAAACACUCCAAGGUGUCCCUUCUACACUUGGUCACUGCUAAGCGCUUGAAAAAAUAAGAUCACUUUUCUGUCAGAGGAAAUACUCUGUGUGUGUGUGUGUGUGUGUGUGUGUUUUAAUUAUUGCCUUUUGAUAAUACUGAUUUUCUAUGUUUUGUGGUUGAUUGUAUGAAAUUAAACAUGUUAGAAAUAACAGCAACUAAGAACUGAAGAAUUUUUCACCUCACGAAGUACUUCUAUAAUAUUUAGUGAAAAAGCACAACAGAGCUAAAGUAUGUAUAUAUGUACUAUAUAUAUAUAUAAAAAUACAUGUAUCUCCACUUGUAUACCCACUGAAGAAAGACUAGAAAAAAAUUAAAAUAAUGGUUGCAGUUUUGUUGUUCAAGGUAA